rnacentral:rRNA from 1 species
UACGUAGGGUCCAAGCGUUGUUCGGAUUUACUGGGCGUAAAGGGCGCGUAGGCGGCUUGACAAGUCACUUGUGAAAUCUCCGGGCUUAACUCGGAACGGGCAAGUGAAACUGUCAUGCUAGAGUGCAGAAGGGGCAAUCGGAAUUCUUGGUGUAGCGGUGAAAUGCGUAGAUAUCAAGAGGAACACCUGAGGUGAAGACGGGUUGCUGGGCUGACACUGACGCUGAGGCGCGAAAGCCAGGGGAGCAAACGGG